rnacentral:snRNA from 1 species
GGUGUUGCACAGUGGCAGUAUCAUAGCCAAUGAGGUUAAUCCGAGGCGUGAUUAUUGCUAGUUGAAAACUAUUCCCUAAGUCCUUUAAACAUUGCCAGAGUGGCAUAAAGGGGACACAUAACUCAAUG